GCAGACGAGCCUACGGCCCACCUGAUGGU
rnacentral:sRNA from 1 species